rnacentral:rRNA from 1 species
GGAAUAUUGGGCAAUGGAUGCAAGUCUGACCCAGCCAUGCCGCGUGCCGGAUGAAGGCCCUCAGGGUUGUAAACGGCUUUUAUUCGGGAAGAAGAGCAGGGAUGCGUCCUUGUGUGACGGUACCGAAUGGAUAAGCACCGGCUACCUCCGUUCCCGCAGCCGCGGUAAUACGGAGGGUGCGAGCGUUGUCCGGAUUUAUUGGGUUUAAAGGGUGCGUAGGUGGCUGCUUAAGUCAGUGGUGAAAUACAGCCGCUCAACGGUUGAGGUGCCAUUGAUACUGAACAGCUUGAAAUAAUUGGAGGCUGCCGGAAUGGAUGGUGUAGCGGUGAAAUGCAUAGAUAUCAUCCAGAACACCGAUUGCGAGGCCAGGUGGCUACGAUUUAUUUGACACUGAGGCACGAAAGCAUGGGGAGCAAA